CAAAGUUAAAAAAGAUGAGGGUGGAAAUCUUCUUGGAUUGGACAUUACAAUUGAAGAACAAAGAAUUACCUUAGUAAAUAUUUAUGGGCCAAAUGUAGACACUCCUUGCUUUUAUCAAAAGGUGGCAGACAUUAUUGAGGAAUUUGAUAACCAAUCUUGUAUUCUUUGUGGUGAUUUUAACCUCAUUCAAAGUUUUAAUCUUGACACCCAUAAUUAUGUUAAUAUCAACAACCCAAAGUCUAGAGAAAAAGUAUUACAGCUAAUGGAAGACUUUAAUCUAGUUGAUCCAUUUAGAGAAUUAUACCCCAAUUUGAGAAGAUUUACUUGGAGGAAAAAAAAACCCUUUAAACAAUCUCGUUUAGAUUUUUUUCUGAUUUCUGAUAAUAUUUUUCACUUUGUUAGCGAUGUUAAAAUUGAUAAUAGUUACAGGUCUGAUCAUUCACCUGUGGUCUUUUCUUUCAAGAUUAAUGAAUUUAUAAAAGGCAGAGGCCUUUGGAAGUUUAAUAAUUCCCUUCUUCAUGAUACUGACUAUGUUAAAGAGAUAAAAAACCUCAUAAGUAUAGUAAAAGAACAAUAUGCUGUCAAGAUAUAUAGAGAUGAAAAUUUACAAAAUAUUGACAACUCUGAAAUUGAAUUUACUGUUGAUGACCAGUUAUUUUUAGAAACUUUACUCACAGAAAUACGCGGUAAAACUAUUUCAUAUGCCUCUUAUAAAAAAAAGGCGGGUAUAAAAAUUGAAAAUGAAAUUAUUUCAAAAUUAAAACAAU
rnacentral:lncRNA from 1 species